rnacentral:rRNA from 1 species
AUUGAACGCUGGCGGCAGGCCUAACACAUGCAAGUCGAACGAGUGGCGGACGGGUGAGUAAUGUCUGGGAAACUGCCCGUUGGAGGGGGAUAACUACUGGAAACGGUAGCUAAUACCGCCUCCCAUCGGAUGUGCCCAGAUGGGAUUAGCUAGUAGGUGGGGUAACGGCUCACCUAGGCGACGAUCCCUAGCUGGUCUGCGAGGAUGACCAGCCACACUGGAACUGAGACAUGGUCCAGACUCCUACGGGAGGCAGCAGUGGGGAAUAUUGGACAAUGGGCGAAAGCCUGAUGCAGCCAGGCCGCGUGUAUGAAGAAGGCUUUCGGGUUGUAAAGUACUUUCAGCGAGGAGGCGUUACUCGAAGAAGAAGCACCGGCUAACUCCGGGCCAGCAGGCGCGGUAAUACC